GGGUCAGAUAUGUUAAUUAGACUAUUAGACUGCAAAUUUAGAGGUGCGCGCUUAAGCUUGUCCCG
rnacentral:tRNA from 1 species